rnacentral:tRNA from 1 species
AUGUUCAUAGCUCAAUGGUAGAGCAUUUACCUUCUAAGUAAAAGAUUAUAGGUUCGAUUCCUGUUGAAUAUA